rnacentral:ncRNA from 2 species
CCUUCGGGGAGUAACCGCGCCUGAGCCUUGUUUCAGGCGGAUUACGUCAACACACUUGUCCGGCAUGGACAUGGCGUAAUCGAAACAGGUGAGACCGACGACCUGCCUU